GCCAGGCAUGGUGGCGCAUGCCUGUAGUCCCAGCUACUCGGGAGGCUGAGGCAGAAGAAUUGCUUGAACCCAGGAGGCGGAUGUUGCAGUGAGUCAAGAUCAUGCCACUGCACUCCAGUCUGGGUGACAAAGCAAGACUCUGUCUCAA
rnacentral:sRNA from 1 species